ensembl:lncRNA
GUUGCAUCAUGCCUCCAUUAUAAAUUACAAUGGGCACAAAGAGGGUGGAUGGAGGGGCAGGGAUUAGAUGGGGUAACCUGAUCCCCAUGCCAGAGGGGCGGGCAGAGAGCUCAGGACCUACCACCCGGACACUCAGCGACCUGAGUAGCCUCCACCUCCCUGUGGCACAGGACUGGGGAGUGGGGGGGGGGGGCAGGAACUAGACCUGCUCAAUGGCUGCUUUGUACAGCUCGGGAGAAUGAUUUACUAACCAGAGGAAUCAGGAGGUGUGAAAGAGGAUGGCCCUCUUAACCCUGCCAUUGUCUCCUGUCUCCUGGAAUGUCCUCUGGCUCCACCCACCCAUGCACCUGUGCACACGGUGGGUCCUGGGGAGGGAUGAACACCAGAGGGAAGACGAGGAAACAGCUGCCCUAAAGUUCAAUGAACUCGGCUCCCUCUUGAACGGAAAACCACAGAGCCGAGGCAAUUGCCCAGUAGCAAACUUUCUUUGAACACAGCUUGGCUGUUGGAGAGUGUGGUUCUGCAAGAAGGGUGUAGGAGAGACAACGCAGCUGCCCCUGGGCCACCAACCACCCUCAGUCACUCCCAGGCCUCUCAUCUCUGUGGGCCCCAGCAUCCUCAACAAACCAGGAAAAUGGGACACUGGUAAAGGGCAGGGAGUGAGCUGCCAUCUCAGCCAUCACUGCCCUCCCUUGGAUCCCAGCCCUGUCUGUCCCCUAUCUCUUUAUUAGACACCCUGCUAAAUAUCGAGUCUGAUCACACUAUGUUCCUGCUUAAAGGCAGUAGAAACGACAGCUCCGAAGUGUCACUCCAGUUCCUCUAGAUUGGUUGGUCCUGUCCCAGCCGACCCCAGGUUACCUUGCACCUCCAGGCCUUUUGUACAAGCUGUUCCAGAGUUCCAUUGCCUGUCUCUGUGGUCAACUGAUAAAUUCAGGUUCAGCCCUUAGAACCUCAAGCCAGCAUCACCUCCUCCCAGAGGCCCUCCUCUAGUCUAUACCCUACUCCUCCACAAACUUGGAGAUGGUCCUGUCUUCCCCUUCUACCUGUACUCCGAACUCCCUGGAGGAGGAGCCAUGGGUUGACACGCAGCCAGGGCCGCAGGUACAAUACCCACUAGACCAUCUCCUCAGCCCGAAGACUGCUCUUGAAGGCUCCAUGGUGUCAGAUUCCCUGAGGACCGGCUAUCCACGCUUGAGUAUAAAAGCUGGCCUUGUCCCCACAAGCCUGGCGUGACCUAUGGCUGUUCUGGCCACCCACGAGGGUUGCAGCCUGAGUAGACAGAAGUCCAAAAGUCAAGAGGCCAGGCUUGACCCUGGGGAGGACAGCUGGCUCCUGUGGAGAAAACUUCCCUGGACCUGGAGGAAGUCAGCCCAGGCCUGGCUAGGCAGGCAAGUGGCUCAAGGGUAGGCCCAAGCCCUGGGUUCCUUGGUCUGCAGCUGUUCCUGGGACCACCCCAUGAGAUAGAGCUACUGAGCCCCCCAGAGACCUGCAAGGAGCCAAGACUAGGGAAGGGGGGCUUUCUCAGCAGGAUUUUUGGUUAUAUGUGUGAGUGAGUGAGUGUUCAACAGGGAGGGGGCCUGCCCCAGUUCUGAGCCUGGAAUUUAUACAGCCCCUCGUUGGCAGCUGUAGUUUAUCUUGACUGAAAGAAUAAUAAACUUGUUUGACAGGAUGAUGUAUUCAAAGCAUCCGCCAUCACAGUGCAGAGCACUGCCUGCUGUCAGGAUGUCUGGCAUGGUGGGGACCAUCUUAUCAAGUGUUUGGCCCCCAGGAGUGGACAGUGCUCGCCACCUAGGUUAUAAGCUAAAUGCUGUGGCCGCACGACCAGGUGAACACUUUGAAAACCUACAAGCAGAAGAUGAGCUCAAGAGAUCUCUCCAACCAAAGUUUCCCUGAGCGUCAGGCACCAGAGCACUGGUUUCCUCUCAGCCUGUCAGAUCCAGACACUGAGGCUGUAGUUGGCGCAGGAUCAAGUGGUUUCCCAAGUUGUACUUCUUCCAUCUGCAAAGAAAGACAAGAAAAGCCCCACCCAGAGCUCUCAGGAGCCAAGGCCUCCUGGAGGGAGCAAGGGAGCAUGGGAAGGAGCUGAGGCCAGGCUUCUGGCAAGGAACUCAGGAGCCAAGCCCUUUGGAGUCCGGCAUCAGCACUGUCCCUCUACACUUCCUCUUUCCUUCCUGGGUCCUCAGUGCCUGCUGUGUGCCAGGCCCUGGGCCCACCAUUGUCCCGGUCUCCAUGGUCCCUGGAGAGGGCAGAAAUGGGCAGAAACUUGGUGGCAUGUAUUCACAGAGUCAGUCCACAUCCCAAAGUCUCCCAUAGUAGGUGCCAGAACCACAGAGAUGACCAAGCUAUACACUGCCUGCAGCCAGUUCAGGCUAGCUGAGGACAUAAGUGGGAACUCUUACUUCCAAGCCCCAACAGCUGUGAGAAUGGGAACAGGAAGUGGGGGGAGAGUGCUGUUGAUCCCCAGAGGGAGCCGGCUUUGCCUCUGAAUGUGUGUUUAGUCAUUCAUUUAUUUCAUCAGGCGUCUGUUAUUGAGCAUCUGUGGCCUGGACGGUGCUGGGAACAGCCAGGGGACUAUGAGGAAGGCAGGCUUUCCAAUGGGCAGACCACUCUUUAUAGAGACAGGCUGAGCCUGUGGUAGAGACUGCAGGGGCCUGGGCAGCAGCAGAUGUGUGAGCCUCAACAGGGGUUAGGACAUGGGGGCAUUCUGAGUUGUAGACCGGAACAGGUAGACCAGACCCUGUGGUGGGAGGCUGGCUUCUGGGUUAUUCUGUGUUCCAGUUCUACCCAGGGUCAGACCACCAGGGGCAAAUAGAGGCAGGACAUAGAGUGGGAAGGCUGGGUCUCUGAAACAGCAGGAAGACCUAUACUCUAUCCAAGAACAUAUGCAGGACCUUUGGAAAUGAGUCAUUAGAACAGAGGGCUUCAUUGUGAAGAUUCUCUGGAGCCAGGACUUCCUCAUCUGCCCCACC